rnacentral:rRNA from 1 species
GACGAACGCUGGCGGCGUGCCUAAUACAUGCAAGUAGAACGCUGAAGGAGGAGCUUGCUUCUCUGGAUGAGUUGCGAACGGGUGAGUAACGCGUAGGUAACCUGCCUGGUAGCGGGGGAUAACUAUUGGAAACGAUAGCUAAUACCGCAUAAGAGUAGAUGUUGCAUGACAUUUGCUUAAAAGGUGCAAUUGCAUCACUACCAGAUGGACCUGCGUUGUAUUAGCUAGUUGGUGGGGUAACGGCUCACCAAGGCGACGAUACAUAGCCGACCUGAGAGGGGGAUCGGCCACACUGGGACUGGGACAAGGCCCAGACUCCUACGGGAGGCAGCAGUAGGGAAUCUUCGGCAAUGGACGGAAGUCUGACCGAGCAACGCCGCGUGAGUGAAGAAGGUUUUCGGAUCGUAAAGCUCUGUUGUAAGAGAAGAACGAGUGUGAGAGUGGAAAGUUCACACUGUGACGGUAGCUUACCAGAAAGGGACGGCUAACUACGUG